UAGCAUAUCAAUAAGCGGAGGAAAAGAAACUAACAAGGAUUCCCCUAGUAACUGCGAGUGAAGCGGGAAAAGCUCAAAUUUAAAAUCUGGCAGUCUUUGGCUGUCCGAGUUGUAAUCUAGAGAAGUGUUAUCCGCGCUGGACCGUGUACAAGUCUCCUGGAAUGGAGCGUCAUAGAGGGUGAGAAUCCCGUCUUUGACACGGACUACCAGGGCUUUGUGAUGCGCUCUCAAAGAGUCGAGUUGUUUGGGAAUGCAGCUCAAAAUGGGUGGUAAAUUCCAUCUAAAGCUAAAUAUUGGCGAGAGACCGAUAGCGAACAAGUACCGUGAGGGAAAGAUGAAAAGAACUUUGGAAAGAGAGUUAAACAGUACGUGAAAUUGCUGAAAGGGAAACGCUUGAAGUCAGUCGCGUCGUCCAGGGAUCAACCUUGCUUUUGCUUGGUGCACUUUCUGGUUGACGGGUCAGCAUCAAUUUUGACCAUUGGAAAAAUAUCAAGGGAAUGUGACAUCUUUGGAUGUGUUAUAGCCCUUGGUUGUAUACGAUGGUUGGGAUUGAGGAACUCAGCACGCCGCAAGGCCGGGUUUUUAACCACGUACGUGCUUAGGAUGCUGGCAUAAUGGCUUUAAUCGACCCGUCUUGAAACACGGACCAAGGAGUCUAACAUGCCUGCGAGUGUUUGGGUGGAAAACUCGAGCGCGUAAUGAAAGUGAAAGUUGAGAUCCCUGUCGUGGGGAGCAUCGACGCCCGGACCAGACCUUUUGUGACGGUUCCGCGGUAGAGCAUGUAUGUUGGGACCCGAAAGAUGGUGAACUAUGCCUGAAUAGGGUGAAGCCAGAGGAAACUCUGGUGGAGGCUCGUAGCGAUUCUGACGUGCAAAUCGAUCGUCAAAUUUGGGUAUAGGGGCGAAAGACUAAUCGAACC
rnacentral:rRNA from 1 species